ACCUGGGGAAGUGUCAUUGCCCUCAGUACACAGAUCAGAGCUUGGCUGACCUGUCAAACUCACAUGCGGAGACGGGGAAGCGCCAGGAUGUGGCCCCAGCUCUAACUGAAAAGCUUAUGCUUCAUCCACAAGGAGAUUCUGAUUAUCCUGGGACGAAAUAUUCUGUCAAAGCAUCAAAGUUCUUUAAGAUCUUUCCAGAGAUGAGAAUGGAUUUGUCCUUCCUAAGUUAGCGUGUCCCCUUUGCCGGAACACAUGAGCAGAGGCACAGGGGGAAUCUAACUGCCACCCCAGCACACCUGACAAAAGGUGAGGCCUUUGGCGGGUGAUGAGGGCAGAGCCCUCACGGGAUUAGUGUCCUUAUAUUGGGUUGGCGAGAAAGUGCGUUCGGAUCUUCCGUAACAUCUUAUGGAAAAACCCGAACGAGCUUUUUGGCCAGCCCAAUAAAAGCGGCCCCAGCAGGCUCCCUCAGCCCCUUACACCUUGGGAGGCUAGAAGGAGUCUGCAACCUGGGUGAGGCCUCAUCCCACCCUGCUGGUACCUCAGUCAGAUCACCAGCCUCCAGAACUGUCCGAAAUACACUUCUGUUGAUUGUAA